CCUACGGGGGGCAGCAGUGGGGAAUAUUGCACAAUGGGGGAAACCCUGAUGCAGCGACGCCGCGUGAAGGAUGAAGUAUUUCGGUAUGUAAACUUCUAUCAGCAGGGAAGAAAAUGACGGUACCUGACUAAGAAGCCGCGGGUAACUACGUGCCAGCAGCCGGGGUAAUACGUAGGGGGCAAGCGUUAUCCGGAUUUACUGGGUGUAAAGGGAGCGUAGACGGUAUGGCAAGUCUGAUGUGAAAACCCGGGGGUCAACCCCGGGACUGCAUGGGAAACUGCCGAACUGGAGUGUCGGAGAGGCAAGUGGAAUUCCUAGUGUAGCGGUGAAAUGCGUAGAUAUUAGGAAGAACACCAGUUGCGAAGGCGGCUUGCUGGACGAUGACUGACGUUGAGGCUCGAAAGCGUGGGGAGCAAACAGGAUUAGAUACCCGAGUAGUC
rnacentral:rRNA from 1 species